rnacentral:rRNA from 1 species
AGUGAACGCUGGCGGUAGGCCUAACACAUGCAAGUCGAACGGCAGCACAUUAAGUGUUUGCUCUUACGGGUGGCGAGUGGCGGACGGGUGCUGCAUACAUCUGAAUCUUCUUUUUCGUGGGUGUUAAUGUAGUGAAACUUACGCUAAUACCGCAUACGUCCUACGUGUGAAAGCAGGGGAUCUUCUGACCUUGUGCGAUUGAAUGAUUCGAUGUCGGAUUACUUAGUUGGCGGGGUAAAGAUCCACUAAGGCGACGAUCCGUAGCUGGUCUGAGAGGAUGAUCAGCAACACGGGAAAGGGGACGAGGACCAGACUCCUAAGGGAGGCACCAGUGGGGAAUAUUGGACAGAGGGCGCAAGCCUGAUCCAGCCAAACCGCGUGGGUGAAGAAGGCCUUCGGGUUGUAAAGCCCUUUUGUUGGGAAAGAAAAGCAGCAGGUUAAUACCCCGCUGUUCUGACGGUACCCAAAGAAUAAGCACCGGCUAACUUCGUG